AUGGUGGAAUCAGAUCAGCCUGGCAAGCUUUUCAUUGGUGGCCUCCGUUUAGAAACCAAUGAAAAGAUGCUUAAAGCAGUAUUUGGGAAAUAUGGUCCCAUACUGGAAGUUCUUUUGAUAAAUGAUUGGGAAACCAGCAACUUCAGAUGCUUUGUACUUAUUUUGAAAACCUGCAGAUGCUAAGAAUGCUGUCAAAGAUAUGAAGGGAAACUCUUUGGAUGGAAAAGCAAUAAAAGUAGAACAAGUCAAGAAAACAUCUUUUCAAAGUGAUGGUAGGUGGAGAUCACCACCUUCCUGGAGAAACAGGAGCCCUUCAGGAAGUCUGAGAUCUGCAAGAGGAGGUAGUAGAGGACAAGAGGGUUGUGUCCCUCAUGUGAAGGACAACUGGGUAAUAAUUCAUACAAGUUCCCGGGACACCAGGGAUUAUGCUCCACCAUCUAGAGAUUAUGGAUACCAUGAUUACGGUCAUUCUAGUUGGAAUGAACAAUCCUCUAGAGCAUAUAGUGACUGUGAUGGCUGUGGUGGGGGCCGUGGUAGAGAUCCUUUAGUACAUCCCAGUGGAAGUUCUUACAGAAAUGCAUAUCAGAGUUAUGGGACCUCUCCUGGUGAACAACCUGCAUGAGAGCCUUGGAUGAGUUAUGGUGGAAGUAGUCACUAUGAUUAUAACAGUACAUGAGAUAUAUAUGGCAGAAGUCAGGAGAGUUACUCAUGAAGCAGUGGUGAUUUAUAUUCCUGUGGUCAUGAGCGCGGUGGCAGAAAGGAAUGAAGGAAUCUACCUUCUGUGGAUAGGGUGCACCCUGCUGCUGGUGAAGGAUACAGUAGCUCAAGUUAUGGGGCAUCUACAGCAAGUGGUGAGGGAAAACAAGGUGAAAAAGGAGGCUGAAGCAGAUAUUAA
rnacentral:lncRNA from 1 species